rnacentral:rRNA from 1 species
UACGUAGGGUGCGAGCGUUGUCCGGAAUUACUGGGCGUAAAGAGCUUGUAGGUGGUUUGUCGCGUUGUUCGUGAAAUCUCACGGCUUAACUGUGAGCGUGCGGGCGAUACGGGCAGACUAGAGUACUGCAGGGGAGACUGGAAUUCCUGGUGUAGCGGUGGAAUGCGCAGAUAUCAGGAGGAACACCGGUGGCGAAGGCGGGUCUCUGGGCAGUAACUGACGCUGAGAAGCGAAAGCGUGGGGGGCGAACAGG